GGUUAUACUGGGGAAAAUAGAAAAAGCAAGUGAAAGGCAUUGAACUCAAUUGUUGUAAAAAGAAAAAUUCAUGAGNAAAAGAAAAGAAAAGAAGAAAAGCAUGAAGAUGAGCUCAAUGAAAAAGAAAAGAAAAGGGAAGAAGUUGGGAAUGAGAAAUUUUGGUGAGAGAGUUGUGCGUAAAUGUUGAAUAUUUUGUUAGCUCUCUUGACUCAAGGAUUUUGCAUUCUAGAAAAACAAAUUUUUCUUAUUAACCCAACCUCAUUACAAGCCUUGAAAAAGUCCUUUUGAUGGAUUUUUCAUGUAAAGAUGUUGAUUGUUUAAGAUGACUGGCGAUUUUGUUUCAUGUAACUUGUGAACAAUAGAGAGUGGAGU
rnacentral:lncRNA from 1 species